rnacentral:rRNA from 1 species
GAUGAACGCUGGCGGCGUGCCUAAUACAUGCAAGUCGAGCGAACAGACGAGGAGCUUGCUCCUCUGACGUUAGCGGCGGACGGGUGAGUAACACGUGGAUAACCUACCUAUAAGACUGGGAUAACUUCGGGAAACCGGAGCUAAUACCGGAUAAUAUAUUGAACCGCAUGGUUCAAUAGUGAAAGACGGUUUUGCUGUCACUUAUAGAUGGAUCCGCGCCGCAUUAGCUAGAUGGUAAGGUAACGGCUUACCAAGGCAACGAUGCGUAGCCGACCUGAGAGGGUGAUCGGCCACACUGGAGGUGAGACACGGUCCAGACGCCUACGGGAGGCAGCAGUAGGGAAUCUUCCGCAAUGGGCGAAAGCCUGACGGAGCAACGCCGCGUGAGUGAUGAAGGUCUUCGGAUCGUAAAACUCUGUUAUUAGGGAAGAACAAAUGUGUAAGUAACUAUGCACGUCUUGACGGUACCUAAUCAGAAAGCCACGGCUAACUACGUG